rfam:Aeromonas sp. RT39B genome assembly, contig: Ga0136726_121
GAAAAUCCUUAUAUUCAAUCUUGCACGGACGCAAUGAAGUCAAUCAGGAAGAUUGGCUGCCAGGGUAGGGCGAAUGGACCAGUCACAGGAAGUGACCAGGGACACCUCCCAGGAGGGAGAAAGUGCGGCGAGACAGGAUGACUCGUCAUGCCAUGAAGGCGAAUGGACACCCCAACGGAUUGGGAAGGGGAAACCACAGGGAACAGGUAUAUAGUCAGGGAUUGCAGGGAGCAACCACGUUCACGGAAACGAACGAUACGACUAAGGGGGGCGACGCGAGUCGCCCCCCAUCUUUUUGGC